UACGAAGGGGGCUAGCGUUGUUCGGAAUUACUGGGCGUAAAGCGCGCGUAGGCGGACAUUUAAGUCAGGGGUGAAAUGCCGGGGCUCAACCUCGGAACUGCCUUUGAUACUGGGUGUCUGGAGUUCGGGAGAGGUGAGUGGAAUUCCGAGUGUAGAGGUGAAAUUCGUAGAUAUUCGCAAGAACACCAGUGGCGAAGGCGGCUCACUGGCCCGAUACUGACGCUGAGGCACGAAAGCGUGGGGAG
rnacentral:rRNA from 1 species